AGCAGCCGCGGUAAUUCCAGCUCCAAUAGCGUAUAUUAAAGUUGCUGCAGUUAAAAAGCUCGUAGUUGAAUUUCGGGAUCAAUUUACUGGUCGUGCCUACGGUACGUACUGGUAUUGUUGGUUCCUCCUUUCUGAGGAGCCGCGAUGUCAUUAACUUGGUGUCGCGGGGAAUCAGGACUGUUACUUUGAAAAAAUUAGAGUGUUUAAAGCAGGCUAACGCUUGAAUACAUUAGCAUGGAAUAAUGAAAUAGGACGUUUGAUCCUAUUUUGUUGGUUUCUAGGGUCGACGUAAUGAUUAAUAGGGAUAGUUGGGGGCAUUAGUAUUCAAUUGUCAGAGGUGAAAUUCUUGGAUUUAUUGAAGACUAACUACUGCGAAAGCACUUGCCAAGGAUGUUUUCAUUAAUCAAGAACGAAAGUUAGGGGAUCGAAGACGAUCAGAUACCGUCGUAGUCUUAACCAUAAACUAUGCCGACUAGGGAUCGGAUGAUGUUAAUUUUUUAAUGACUCAUUCGGCGCCUUA
rnacentral:rRNA from 1 species